AGUGAACGCUGGCGGUAGGCCUAACACAUGCAAGUCGAACGGCAGCACAGUAAGAGCUUGCUCUUACGGGUGGCGAGUGGCGGACGGGUGAGGAAUACAUCGGAAUCUACUUUUUCGUGGGGGAUAACGUAGGGAAACUUACGCUAAUACCGCACACGACCUACGGGUGAAAGCAGGGGAUCUUCGGACCUUGCGCGAUUGAAUGAGCCGAUGUCGGAUUAGCUAGUUGGCGGGGUAAAGGCCCACCAAGGCGACGAUCCGUAGCUGGUCUGAGAGGAUGAUCAGCCACACUGGAACUGAGACACGGUCCAGACUCCUACGGGAGGCAGCAGUGGGGAAUAUUGGACAAUGGGCGCAAGCCUGAUCCAGCCAUACCGCGUGGGUGAAGAAGGCCUUCGGGUUGUAAAGCCCUUUUGUUGGGAAAGAAAGGCAGCAGGUUAAUACCCCGCUGUUCUGACGGUACCCAAAGAAUAAGCACCGGCUAACUUCGUG
rnacentral:rRNA from 1 species